AUUCCCUAUCGGCUAAGAUCAAGUGUAGUACCUGUUCUUAUCAGUUUUAUAUCUGAUAUGUCCUCUAUCUGAGGGCUUUAUAUUAACUGGAUUAACAAGGGACUAAUUUUUAUUUCUGUCUUGAACAUAACAUUGGGGUGGAUCAGGUGGAGGUUACAAAAUUUAUUUUCAAUUCAACUGUUU